rnacentral:rRNA from 1 species
AUAAGCGGAGGAAAAGAAACUAACAAGGAUUCCCCUAGUAACGGCGAGUGAAGAGGGAAGAGCCCAAGAUUGAAAGCUGGCGUCUUCGGCGUCCGCAUUGUAAUCUCAAGAAGUGUUUUCCGCUUCGGACCAUGCCUAAGUCCCUUGGAAAAGGGCAUCAUAGAGGGUGAUAAUCCCGUACAUGGCAUGGAGCGCCCGAAGCUUUGUGAUUACACAUUCUACGAGUCGAGUUGUUUGGGAAUGCAGCUCAAAAUGGGUGGUAAAUGCCAUCUAAGGCUAAAUAUUGGGGAGAGACCGAUAGCGAACAAGUACAGUGAUGGAAAGAUGAAAAGAACUUUGAAAAGAGAGUUAAACAGUACGUGAAAUUGCCAAAAGGGAAGGGUAGGAGGUCAGAGAUGCGUCUUGGAAUUCAGCCUUGCUUUUGCUUGGUGUUUUUUCCAAUUUGCAGGCCAACGUCGGUUUUGGGCACUGGAGAAGGGUAGGAGGAACGUAGCACCUCUCGGGGUGUGUUAUAGCCUCCUACUGGAUACAGCGACCGAGACCGAGGAUAGCAGCGUACUCGCAAGAGCGGGCCUUUGGGCACCUUUACGCUUAGGGCGUUGGCAUAAUGGCCCUCUACCACCCGUCUUGAAACACGGACCAAGGAGUCU